CCUGUCUGUUUACUCUUGUGUCUGUCAGAUGUUCAAAUAUUUGUAACACCUAAUACAUUUUUAAUUUGUAAAAAAGUUCCAAAACUUAAAAUUUAUUAUUUUUCUAAAGGGACCUCCAGGCCCUCCUGGACUGAUAGGCCCAGCUGGUCCACCAGGAAAAGAUGGAGAACCAGGAAGACCAGGUAGAAAUGGAGAUCGAGGAAUUCCUGGAUUACCGGUAUGAAAAAGCCCCCAGUAACAAAGGUCUUCUAAUGAAAGUUGUUUGUUUAUUUUUUAAUUAGUCAAGUGAAUGUAAUGUACCUUGGUGUGCGCCCUUCUUUCAGUGUUUAUGUUAUUUAUGCACCUUUCUGUGUUGAUAUAUUUAGGGUCACAAGGGACACCCUGGAAUGCCUGGAAUGCCUGGAAUGAAAGGUCAAAGAGUAAGUGUUGAUAAGAGUGUAACUGAGUCUGUCACUUCGCUCCCAACUAAAGACACUGAAUCAUAACAUUAAAUGUCAAUUUCUGGAAUACGUAGUCUGACCUCCCAUAACAUUAACUAUUGAAUUUUAUCUAGCUUACUCAAUUGUAGAGCCCCAUACCAAACGCUGGGCUAAAGCAUGCUUUCCAGAAAAGCACCCGGUCUUAAUUAACGGACAUGGAGAGAUGGAGCAUUCCGCGUUUUCUCUGGAAAAGUGUUCUACUAACUAAUAGCACUCAUUUUUAAAAAGAUGUCCCUUUAAUAUGAAUUUUGUCUGAUUUCAAGUAAUGAUGGCUGAAUGUGUUACAACAUGUUGAUUAAAAGGUAAGCAACAUGGUGCCUUUUGUCAAACUAUGCAAGAGCAAAGGUACCACCUAAGUUAUAAAAUACUGAGGGAAAAAAUUGCAUUUUCUCCAUUUGUACAGUAUCCAGCAUAAGGCCCUAAUCUAGGUAAAAUUGUGGAGAUAUUAAAAUAUAAAUAUGAUAUUGUUAUAAUGUUAAGUGAUAUUACAGCAUUUAAUAAAUAUAAUUGUUAUUGUUAAUCA
rnacentral:lncRNA from 1 species